rnacentral:rRNA from 1 species
UACAGAGGUCCCGAGCGUUGUUCGGAUUCACUGGGCGUAAAGGGGGCGUAGGUGGCGCGGUCAGUCGGAUGUGAAAGCUCGGAGCUCAACUCCGAAAUGGCAUUGGAAACUACCUUGCUCGAGGGUUGGAGGGGGGACUGGAAUGCUUGGUGUAGCAGUGAAAUGCGUAGAUAUCAAGCGGAACACCAGUGGCGAAGGCGAGUCCCUGGACAACUCCUGACACUGAGGCACGAAAGCUAGGGGAGCAAACAGG